CAGUCGCCACGGGAAUACGGAGGAUCCAAGCGUUAUCCGGAUUUAUUGGGUUUAAAGGGUGCGUAGGUGGCUUUUUAAGUCAGGGGUGAAAGACGGUAGCUUAACUAUCGCAGUGCCUUUGAUACUGAAGAGCUUGAAUGAACUAGAGGUAGGCGGAAUGUGACAAGUAGCGGUGAAAUGCAUAGAUAUGUCACAGAACACCAAUUGCGAAGGCAGCUUACUAUGGUUUUAUUGACACUGAGGCACGAAAGCGUGGGGAUCAAACAGGAUUAGAUACCCCUGUAGUCCCUGUCUCUUAUAC
rnacentral:rRNA from 1 species